UUGUUCUUUAAAUGGGGACUUGUAUCAACGGCACCACGAGGGUUAGACUGUCUCCUUUUUCAAAUCAGUGAAAUUAAUCUCCCCGUGAAGAAGCGGGGAUACUCAUAUAAGACGAGAAGACCCCAUGGAGCUUCAAACCCAACUACACCCCUAGCUCUUAUAGCCCCACAACCCCCCCCCC
rnacentral:rRNA from 1 species